rnacentral:rRNA from 1 species
UGGCGGCGUGCCUAAUACAUGCAAGUCGAGCGGACAGAAGGGAGCUUGCUCCCGGAUGUUAGCGGCGGACGGGUGAGUAACACGUGGGUAACCUGCCUGUAAGACUGGGAUAACUCCGGGAAACCGGAGCUAAUACCGGAUAGUUCCUUGAACCGCAUGGUUCAAGGAUGAAAGACGGUUUCGGCUGUCACUUACAGAUGGACCCGCGGCGCAUUAGCUAGUUGGUGAGGUAACGGCUCACCAAGGCGACGAUGCGUAGCCGACCUGAGAGGGUGAUCGGCCACACUGGGACUGAGACACGGCCCAGACUCCUACGGGAGGCAGCAGUAGGGAAUCUUCCGCAAUGGACGAAAGUCUGACGGAGCAACGCCGCGUGAGUGAUGAAGGUUUUCGGAUCGUAAAGCUCUGUUGUUAGGGAAGAACAAGUGCAAGAGUAACUGCUUGCACCUUGACGUACCAACCA